AUUGAACGCUGGCGGCAGGCCUAACACAUGCAAGUCGAACGAGUGGCGGACGGGUGAGUAAUGUCUGGGAAACUGCCUGAUGGAGGGGGAUAACUACUGGAAACGGUAGCUAAUACCGCAUACCAUCAGAUGUGCCCAGAUGGGAUUAGCUAGUUGGUGGGGUAACGGCUCACCUAGGCGACGAUCCCUAGCUGGUCUGAGAGGAUGACCAGCCACACUGGGACGUAGACAAGGUCCAGACUCCGAAGGGAGGCAGCAGUGGGGAAUAUUGCACAAUGGGCGCAAGCCGGAUGCAGCCAUGCCGCGUGUAUGAAGAAGGCCUUCGGGUUGUAAAGUACUUUCAGCGGGGAGGCGUUACCCGCAGAAGAAGCACCGGCUAACUCCGUGCCAGCAGCCGCGGUAAUAC
rnacentral:rRNA from 1 species